CAUUCCUCCUGUGGCCUGUGGACUGGCCCCAGAUUGCUCAUGGCUCCCUUAGACAAGAGCUUCUGUCCCCUUAUCCUUCCUAUAGGCCGUGACCAUGGAGCUCUCAGGAACUGGCAGGUUCAUGGCUGUCUCAUCAAGCGCCGACAGGAGGACAGCAGUCGGGGCCUUGCUAUGUUUCUGCAUCUGGCUUCGGAUGUCGGAUACCUUGUCCUGCCAAGUGCUCCCUAAAAGUGAAGGAGACAAAAGAAAACUGUCCAGGACAGAAGGGGGCACUGGUGCUGGGGAAGCAUCAUCUAACCUUGUGCUCUGUGAGGCUCUGAGGAAAAGGCAAUCGAAAUCAGAAGCCAAAGGGAAGACAACCAUCAUCAAGCUCUGGGCCUCAUCAAGCUCUGCAGUAGGGCCCUGGAUCCCAGAGACCUGCCUUACUAGAGUGUCCCCUUGGAGCAGGCAGGUAUGGGGGAAGGCUGGGAGGAGCUAUGGGCUUUGAUUCCCCCACUGAUCAGUUGGUUAGUGCAGGCGGUGAAGAUGUUAACAACAGCUUCCAUAGGAAGGAUGCUGUUGCUUCUUUUCCUGGUAUGCUCCCUCUGCUCUGAGGUUGAUCUGGAAACUACCUCCUCUUUCCCUUGGCCCUUCAAAGAAACAUAAGUGUGGUUCCUUGUGGACGUAUAGAUAAGUGCCUCUUUGUAAACUCUCAGCCAACCUGGGCUGCUUGUGGUGGGGAAAAGGGGGAAUACAUGGGGGUGGAUAGUGGGCAGAUGGCCAGGGCCAGUAGAGCCACUUCCUGUCAGGAUUCUGGGAGUAAAUAUUUCCUCUGGAAGGAUGACCACAACACUGGCCUUGCUGGUGGUUCCUCCUGGCAAAGUACUAGCUCUGUUUUGGUAUUGUGCCUCUGUCUGAUACCACUUGUUGAAGUUGAUGGUUGAACAAGUGCCUUCUCUUUGUUUCCCCUCCUAGGGUUCCCCUUUGCCUUCCACUAAAAUCUCAGGUUCACGAAGACUGGAUGCAACAUCCUCUUCACUUCCAUGUCCUCACCCAGAGCCUAGCACAUAGUAGCUCUCAGCAAAUAUUUGUUGGAUGGAUGAAUGAAUAAGCAUCCUUUGGGUGCAAGAGCCCUAUUCACAGGAACACAGAAGGUGGAAAAGGUAGGCCCUGCCCACAAGACCUCCCAGCCUGAUGAGGAGACACAGCCCCUUAGGCCCCAGAUGGGGGACUAAGACUUACUCUGUGAAGUAGCUUGCCAUGGGGCCCCUGUAAAAGAAAGCUAUGAGCAAAAACAUAGCUGGCUGCAGCUGGCUGGAGAAAGCCUCCGCAUUGAGGAGGACGUUGGAAUGAUGGAGGUGACAAGAGCCGGCUACACAUUUCCUUUCUAGGCUCCCUAGUUAUGAGGAACAUAUGUUCUGAACCAGAACUCAGGACACAAAGCCUGACCAAGGCGCUAGAUGUGGGAAAGUGGGGCUGGCCUAGAAAAUCUGACAGGAUGCUUCCAAGUCUCAGGCUGGAAUUGCUCAUGGUAAGAAACAGUCCAGAUGGAGGCCAGUUUCUCUGCUGAGGUCUGGGCUAAGUUCCCAGAUAAUAGGUCUUUCUAGUGGGUCGAUUUCUUCCUAGAGGUUGGGCUAGUUCAACCCUUUAUGCCCAAGGAUAAAGACUUGCUGCUCAAACACUUCUUGGGCCUAUGAGAGACCAGCAGCCUACUCUCUUCAGUCAGCUCAGCCUGGGCACCCCCACAGGCUCCUCCACCAUGGAUGGCAUCAUGCCCCUCCAGGUCCUUUAGUCUUGAUUCAACAGGAGAGAACAUCUUAUCCAUUCCUCAAUUUCCCGUGGAUUCCUAGCUGGAGAGGGCAGUUACCAAGAGGGCAGAUUCCAAGGGUCUGUCAUUCCUUGGGGGAGACUGUUGUGUGCAGCUUCAAAUUGAGUGUGAAUGCUCAUAACUGAGAGAGAAGGAACUAAUAAACCAGUGGCAUUCCAAGAAGGUGUCUUUAGGUUGUUCUCCCCACAGUGAGAUGGCUGGGUUCAAUCAGGGUUUAGGCCAUGGUGAAGGCUAGAAUGAAAGAAAGUGGUCCAUACUAGGAUGGAACCCACAGUGUUAGCCUCUACUGGGCUACAACAACCAAAGUUAAUCAGCCUAGACAUUUAGAUAUAAUCUGUUACUCACAAAUGACAUACUAAAAUUUGUCUUAUUAAGUCUUUGAGAAAAAGAUCAAAGUUAAAAAUUUUAACUCUAGCUAUAGGUGUGGCCAUAUCCAUUAAUGCAGGAGUUGUGAAUGGAGCACAAGAUUCAACCAUGAUUGGCCAUUAAUUCAGCAAUGCCUAUUCUUUUAACAACUGAGGCUUAGCAGACAGCAGUGUUUGGAGUGGGUAGUUAUUUGCCAGCUGAGGAGCGAAUGGAUUGGUCCAUAGCCCCAAAGAGGGCAGACUGUGAGGUAGAGCGAUGGGAGGAAGACAGGGAGGGGGCUCCAGCAGCACAGUAUUGGCUUCCUCCUCCUCCUCUUCCUUAUUGCUUCACAAACAUUAUCUUAUUUUGUCCUCAGGACAACCUGUGAGGAAAGACUAAUAUGUCAUCUUGAUAUGCUCUGAUUCCCCUCAACUCCUUAGUCCUGAUGGGCCUCCUUGGAGUUUCCUUGGGCCCACAUGGACAGAUGAAGAAACUGAGGCUAAAGGGAGUUAGAUUACUGACUUAAAGCUUCAGAACAGAGAUAGGAGUUGAACCUAGGUGUCUGACUCCAGAGAGUUUAUCAAUGCCAUGUUUUGCUGACACUAGCUUUUCCUGGGCUUGCUGGGGGGAUUUCCUAGGAGACAGGUAGACACCAGAGGUCAUGGUGCCUCUGAUGCAAAACUAUCCCAAGUGUGACUCAUCCAUAACACCCUUUCUGUCCAGUGCACUGAACUCUCUGAUCCUCCUCAAUUCCUUGGUCCUGAUGGGCCCCUUGGAGUUUCCUUGGGCCCACAUGGACAGGAGCUUGCUCCUUGGUCUGUGUGUUGUCUCUAUUGACUCAUCUUCAAAUGGUUAGGCUGGGGCUACCCCCCAAUCCCCUGCUGUAUCCCACCCCUCUGUUUCCCUUAGCCCUGGUGCUCCCCAAAGCCCUCCUGUCUCCUGCUAAGUGUAGAAUUAGGCAGAACACACAUGAAGUUAGCUGGUCCUUGUCCAGGCAGAAUUUCACAUGGUUAUUUCCUCACCAUAUUUCUGCCUCCUGGGCCCCCUGAGAUCAAUCAUCUCAGUCUUGGCUGAUUGAUUCUGAACAGUUGGUUUUAGCUUAUCUGUGGAUUUCAUUAUGUGCUGUUUACAGGCACCUUACAAAGCCUUAAAUGAAGACGUUCCUGGAGACUGAACCUGGGUUGGUCUCUCGGGUUGGUCAGAGCGUGGUGCUAUUGAAGCCAAGCAUGUUGAUCCCAGGCCACAUGGGGCCCAGUGAGCUGGGCUGGGCUACCAGCCACAGACUGAGGCUGAGCCCGGGCUUCCUUUCAGAUUUAACAGGAAUCAAUCCACAGGUCUACUCUGGGGUCUUAAUUGUGGGGUGACAGUGGGCAUGGAAUGUCAUACUUGUAAAUGAGCUGAGUUCUCACAACGACUCUGGCUUAGAAGUUUGUCCCAGAUGUCUGCUCCUCACUCACCUCCCUGCCAUCCUCAUCCCAGGCUUUUAACAAACGCCUGGGACUUCUCGUGUUGAAAAAAUGGAAUAGUGACCAUGUGCAGUAGGGUACUUGUAUGGACUCCUCUCUCUGCCCCUUUGCUGGCCUCUGGUCUCUGGCUACAGUGUUAUGAUGUCUUCAUGGAGGGACUUGGUCUUUGCCACCAGGCCUCCACUGGGGCUCUCUUCUCUGCUCCUUCCCUCUUUCCCAGUAGAACUGACCCCGGCUGGCCCCAGAAAGAAUACCAAUGGCCUACCUGUAGCAUUUAUGGCUGCUCUGGUUGCAAAGGGUCACAUUUGCCUCAUUUCCAAGAUAGCACAGAAAAGUGGGACCAAAACAUGGGGACUGUGUUGCUCUCUGUGCCCCAGGACAUUGCCCCAGUUCUCUCUGUUCUAGUGGUUAAAAUGACUGGCUGACACUGAGCUGUCACAUGUUCUCCCCUGGGCCCUAUGUGACAAUUUACAAGGACUUUAAGGGUGAAGCUUGUAGCUGGAAAACAGUAGAAAUCACAUUGGGUGGCUGAGGGCUAGGUCCACACUGCUGCCCUCAUUAGUCUAGAGUUCUCCCUUAACCAAUCAAAGGGCCCCCGAGUUCUGGGAUGUUUUAUAUAUGCACAGUAGAACCUCUAUAAGUUAAUCACCCAAGGGACUGUAACAAACUGGUCAACAUAAAGAGGUGGUCAACAUAAGAAACUAUGUCUACUGUACUGAUAUAUACAUAUGGUGCAUGUUUGGUCUAUGAAAAUUAAGUUAAUUUAAGGGGUGGUCAUUGUAGGGAGAUGGUCAGCUAUGGAGGUUCUACUGUAUACACACACACACACACACACGCAUGCACACAGGCACAUACAUAUAUUGCAGCCUUUGCAAGUAUGUAGACUCUGCCUUCUUUUCUAUGUAUUAUUUUUCUCUACCUUGACCCUCUGCUGAGUAUAAGGGAGACAGACAGUGGAGGCCAAGGGUCAUCCCACCGUGGGCCAAUCAGCUUCCUCCUCUGUUCCCCUGUGGUGCAAGACUGCUGCAUUGCACAACUCUGGGGGAUAAGAGGAAAGCCAUGUGCAGCACAGUGGGCAUCCCCAGCCCAGGGGGUCUUUGCAGCUGCCACACUAACCCUGCCUGGUCCCACUUCAUGAAAUGGGGCCCUCUGGUUGUCAAGCAGACCCAAGGUAGGGGUGGCAGCAAAGCACUGGUCUCCAUUAUAGACCCUUCUCUAAUGUUCUAUUUGGCCAAACGUCUUCCAGCACCUCUCUCAGCAUCCUGUCUAUCACAGUAAGCAAAACUCACAAGCUGGUCAUGCUUCUAAACUCCCUCCUUACCAAAGGCAACUGACUGUAAAGCAAAUUGAAUCGAAAUCUGAUCACAUUCUCAUUUGAUUUAGUUCUGUGUGAUUUAACAAACAUUCACUGAAGGAGACACUGCUGUGGGCCAGACCUUAUGCCAGCAGUAGGCACGAAAAUACAUCGUGGUUCCUGUCCUCAGGGGGCUUACAUUUGAGUUUGAGAGAUAGGUACGAGAUACAGAGACCAUCUCAGUCCUGCAUAGUAGGGGCACUAAUGGAAGCCCACUGACCGGAGCCCCGAAGCGAAAGAAAGUAACUUUGCUGGAGUGUGUGGAAAGACAGUUCAGGGAAGUUAUUAUGGUCUGAAUAUUUGUAUCUCUCCAAAAUUCAUGUGUUGAAGUCCUAACCAGGGUGAUGGUAUUAGGAGGUGGAGCCUCUAGGGCAGUGGAGCAUUCUAGGGCAUGAGCCUCUAGGGCAUUCUCAACCUUCCUAAUGCUGCAAUGUAUUUUCAUUGUUAAAAAAGGGGUCUCGACCUACAGGUUGAGAACUGCUGCUCUAGGGGAUGAUUAGGUCAUGAGGAUGGAGCCCUCAAGGUGGUAUUAGAGCUCUUAUAAGAAGAGAUGGAAGAGAUUUUUCUCUCUGUGUCUAUUUCUCCCACCUCUCUUUCUCUCCUUUGCCGUGUGGAGAUAUGACAAGAAGAUAGCCAUCUUUAAACCAGGAAACAGGCCCUCACCAAGAACUGGACCAUAAUGAUGCCUGACCUUGGAUUUUCAGCCCCCAGAACUUUUAAAAAUAAAAUAUUUGCUUAAAACCACCCAGUCUAUGGCAUUCUGUUUAGACUGAACAGGUUAAGACAGAAGGCCUCACAAACUAGGUAAUUCCUAGCCAGGGAUUUGAAGGGUUAAUAGUUUCCUCAGAAGGACUAAAUAAGGUCGACAAUGCAGGGCAAUGAAGCAAUGCAAGCAAAAGUGGGAAAGUAAGAGUGGCCAGGUGGGAGCCUAACUCUUUCAGUAUAGCUAUUUGCCUUUUUCCUCCCAGUGUGUAGCAUGGGGCCUGUUCCGCAGCUGCUACCCAGGAGACACUGGGUGAACUAAUGCACCUCCUUGCUCCCAGGGGCUCACGUGUAUCUGUAGAUCUGGCUGUCUUGCUAGAUUGCAUGAUAGUCAAGAGCGGGUCUGUGGGAGAGAAGUGAGUACAUCAGAUGACACAGAGGGUCAGGCAAAGAACUGGUCUAGAACCCAGGUCUCCUGACUUGCAGUCCAAUGCUCUUUUCACUUCUACCUAGGCUCCUCUCAGUCCACAUCGAUCUCUCCCUCCCUGGAGCCUUUUCAGCACUUACAUUCAGAGCCACUUGCUCUCACACUUAUUUCCUAGCUCUCUUGUAUUACACACGGGUUGUUUCCAAUGUGUUCUGCUUGUCUUUCCAAUUGGACUAUAAGCUUCUUCAAAGCAGAGACUGGGGCUGCUUCUUUUCCAUAUUCUUUAAAUGAGCAAUGAGUGCACAAAAAAAAAAAAGAGCAAGAAUUAAAAACACAUAAAAACCUUGCUUUUCCCUCCUUUUCUAGUAGCCUUGUGGAUUCAUUUUUUAAGGUGUGGCUUUUUUUGAAUUUAGUAAGUCCAACCCUCUCUGAGUACACACCUCUGCAGAAAAAUCACUGUGGUAAAGAAUCUACACUACUCCUUCCCCCUGGGGGAAUUUACUGCCUGGAAAAGAAACAAAAAUGACUCAAAAUAUAGCAGAGGAAUAGAUCUUUCUUAUUUUGUGUAUAAGUGUCUUCUUGAAAUGUGUGUGGGAGUGGAAUCCUAUAGUUGAUGUGCUGGGAAAAAUCACUAGUCAAGGAACUCCUACGGUGACACUUUGAAAACUAAGGAUAUUGAAUCAUUUACUUUGUUUAUUUCAUUUCCCCAUGGCAUCUUUUUCUUAUUGGAGUUGAUAUCUAUUCAUUUAUCAAUUAUCCAGGAAAAAUCCAUUCAUCUCAAUAAAUUCAUCCAUUGCCGUAAAUACUCACACAGAGUAAAUAUACACUGACUUUUAAAAAUGAAUACAUGUAUUUUAUUUGCAGUAAAUUCUUUUUUAAAGUGAAGAAUCAUCUCAUCCCCUAAUGGACCCACUGUGUCAUAAGAGGAUGAGAAGCUGUGUACAGAUGAAAGCAGUUCUCGCUGCUCUCAUUUAACAGAUUGUUCAGAAGUAUAGUUAAGGCUUUCAUUUAAAUCUCAUUGGGACUUACUACGUGGUUUCUCCUAUGGAAUCAAUAGAGCCUAGUGAAUCAGAUAGACUGCUUGAAACCCAUGUCUGCCACUUUCUGUGUGAAACUGGGAUAAGGGACACAGCUUUUCUUGCCCUCAGUAUUUUUUGGUUCUAAAAUGGGGAUAACCAUAGCCACUUCCUCAUAAGAUCAUUAUGUGGUUGAAAGGUGACACUAAAUGUCAGGAGUGUAAAUAGACUGAACUAGGUGAAGGUAGUGACAGUUAGAGAGGGAAGUAUUUCCUUCCAGAGGUAACCCUAAAGCACAAGUUACAUUAGUCUAGGGGGCACUUUUUCCUACCAUCCACCCACAGUGUAAACUAUUUUACUAAUGUGAAGGUAGGCUUGAGAGUGGGGACCAAGCUGCAUGUGAAUUUUAGCAGACUAUUGACAGAUUCUUCGAUGACACCCCUAUGGGCAAGGUGUCCACCAGAGCUGGGUGGCAGUCAUAAUCAUAACUAUAAGCAAGAGCUUGUUUGGGUAGCUCAUGCACUCAAAAUAGAACAGUGGAGACACAGAUGACAUGCAAAUCCUAGAAGCUUUCUGUAGCAGAUGAUGACAGUUUUCCUCCCUCCCCCAUCUCCUGGGCCUAGUUGAGGUCACCUACAGCUGCAGGAGAAGGCUGUUUCCAGCCUAUCCACUGCUCCCUACCUCCAGAGCCUGCAUUUUCUCUGCUGAAGUAGGGGCUUUCUGUAGCACUAGAUUCCAGAACCGUGGAGGAGUUGAUACCUCCAGGGUAACCUGCAAGUGAUGGGGGAUGGGAAUUGGUGAGCAAAUGCCCUAGCCCUCCUGCAGGACAAUUCUGAAGAGUGCCCCCAUAGUUUCUCAGUAUCUCCCAGCAGGAUGGAGCCCUAGUUGGUGGGGGACACUGAGAAACUGGGAGGACACUAUGGUGACCCACCCUUUAAUACAUAUGGCCACUCACUGGCUUCUCCCCCUUUUCUCACUUUUUCUACUUCCCCCUUCUGUGAGUCUCAGGGUCACCUCCCUAAUAAACUACCUGAACCCAAGUCCUUGUCUUUAGGUCUGCUUUGGCAGGGGUGAGGGGUGGGAGUGGGGGGGUGUCCCAAAUGAAAACACUUUUUCUUUUUUCUAAUUCAGUCAAGAUACAGGUGUGGGGAAAGAGGAGCUUGAGAAAAUCUCUUUACAAAAGAAAUGUAAUCACCCCAUUGACUUCUGUUUUCAAAGCACUUUCUUUCACCUAGGUCCUUAUUAUUCAAAGCAGGACAAGCAGCAAGGGCAUCACCUGGGAGCUUGUGAGAAACGCAGAUCCACCCCAGGCUGGUUGGAUCCAAAUCUGCAUUUUAACAAAAUCCCCGGGUGUUUCAUGUGUUAUAGGUUGAGAAGCUACAUGACCUACCCGGCCCUUGCUGAGGCCCUAUGAGAAGGUAUUGGUAUUUGUAGGUAUUUGUAGUGUUCCCCCAAAUUCAUGUCCAGCCAAAACUUCAACAUGAACUUAUUUAGACAUAGGGUCUUUGCAGAUGCAAUUUGUUAAAGUAAGAGCAGGUCGGGCCCUAAAUUCAAUGACCAAUGUCCUUAUAAGACGAAGACAGGACACACACAGAGAAGGCCAUGCGACAGAGAUUGGAGCUGUGCUGCCAGAAGGGAAAGAACACCGGCCACCAGGAGCUAGAAGAGGCAAAGAAAAAUCCUACACUAGAGCCUUUGGAGGGAGUGUGGCCUUGCUGACACCUUGACUGCAGACUUCUAGCCUCCAAAACUGAAGAACACAUUUUGGUUGUUUUAAGCCACCCAGUUUGUGGUACUUUGUUAUGGCAUCCCUAGGAAACGAACAUACUAUAAUUCUCAAUUUCACAAUGCAUAAGUGACAAAGCCAGGACUUGGCCUCGGAACUGUUAUUAUUGCUGAUGAAACACCCGUGAAGGGCCUCAGGGACUCUACAGCAGCAUUUCCAGAGCCCCAUUCUUAGCCGUGUCCUGCUUCAUACUGCUGCCUAGGAUUUGGAGGCAGACAAAGGGACACUUUGGUCAGGUUGCUUGAAUUCACAGACACAGAACUCACAGAUAAGGAGGCCUGACAGCAUCAAGAUACCACAUUGUACUCCAUAAAUAUUCGGUUAUUAAGUAUUAAAUGUCCGAUUUCCUUAUGCACUAAGUUUGACAGUGGAUAUCUCUGACUUUUCACUUUGACACUUUUCAUUUUUGUGUGUGUGUGUGUGUGUGUGAAAGUACAUUCUCAUUCUUUCAAAUACACAUUUUGGCUUGCAAUUAUCUUCCAAAAUUUUUAGAACAAUUUGUGAGAAACCAUGGAUAAGUUAAUAUGAGUUACACUGUGGAACCAAUGCAGCACAGACAGCUAAAAACAUCAACAAAAUGUUUGGGAAGGAUGUGGCUAGUGAAUGUACAGUAUGUUAAUGGUUUGAGAAGUUAAAUUCUAGUCAUUUUAAUCUUGAAAAUGAGCCACAUGGGUGACCUGAGCCCAAGGUGGCUAAUGAUGAACUGAAAGCUGCAAUGGAAGAGAAUCUAUCUUAACCUACAUGUGAAUUAGCAGCAUAGUUUGAAGUUACUAUUCCAACAGUCUUGGACCAUUUGAAACAAAUUCACAAGAUAAAGAAGCUGGAUAGAUGGGUUCUGCAUGAAUUAAACAAGCAUCAGAAGAGACAGCAUCUGGAAGCUUGCCUUUCUUUUCUCAAGACAUAAAGGCAAGCCUUUUCUACCCCUUAUUGUUAAGUUUGAUGAGAAAUGGAUUCUUGAGAAUUGCAAGUGUUCAGCACAAUGAUUGGAUAAAGAUGAAAUGCUGAAACAAUCCAAAACUGAAUAUUUAUCAAAAAAAGCUAAUGGUGUCUGUUUGGUGGUCUAGCUCUGGUAUUAUCCACUAUGGCUUUGUGAAACCUAGUCAAUCACAGUGGAUGUCUACUGCAACCAAAUGGAUGACAUGGUGAGGAUGUUUGUGAUUAAGCAACUGAGAUUGGUCAAUAGAUACAGGUCAGUCCUCUUGCAAGACAACAUGUUGACCACAUGUCACGCAAACAAUGCUGCUCAAACUACAGAAGCUGCGCUUGGAAACUCUCUGUCAUCCAACAUGUUCACUAGAUCUUGCACCAACUGACUACCACUUCUUUCAGGCUUUGUACCAUUUCUUGCAAGGAAAAAUAUUUAAUUCUCAACAAGCUAUGGAAAUGCCUUUUGUAAUUUCAUUGCCACUCACUCUCUAGGCUUCUUCUUUGCUGGCAUAACAAGCUACCAUUAAGAUGGCAAAACUGUAUUGAUAGUUUAGGCACAUUAAUUAAUUGUCUUGUUUCUUGUUUGAGAUAUAAUUAACUAAAAUUUUGAUUCAAAAUCAGACAUUUCGGCUUGGCACCUGUAGCUCAGUAACUAGAGCACUGGCCACAUACACCAGGGCUGGUGGGUUCAAACAUGGCCUGGGCCUGCCAAACAACAAUAACAAUAACAACAACAACAACAACAACAACAAAAUAGCUGGGCGUUGUGGUGGGUGCCUAUAGUCCCAGCUACUUGGGAGGCUGAGGCAAGAGAAUCUCUUAAGAAGAGUUUGAAGUUGCUGUGAGCUGUGACAUCACAGCACUCUACUGAGGGUGACAAAGUGAGACUGUCUCAAAACAAAAAAAAAAAACAGACAUUUAAUAUUUAAUGACCUAAUGUAUACAACUAUUACUUGUUAAUUAAAAAUAAAAUGAAAGGAUGA